UGGAGCGGGCACCUGGCGCUCCCGCGCUGCGGCGCGCAGAGCUAGCUGCGGGGCUGGGGAAUCCGCGGCCACCGCCUCUAAUCCGCCCUUAAGUAGUCUCCGCCUGCGUCACGCCAGGUCGGCGGAGGGGAGCAGAGCGCGGCGUGCCGCUGUCGCCGAGCGUCGGAGCCCGAGGGGCCGCGGCCGCGCGCCGCGGGGGGAGGAGACGGUCUGGAGUCCCCCCGCUGCGCCGGAGAUGGGGAGACGGAGAACUGCAGCGCCCCUUGGGGCUUCUGAGGCGCCCAGGUAACCUCACCUGGCCGCCAGUCUCCCGCAGGAGGAACAGACACAUUGGUUCUACACCGAACCUAUUAACAGCUCAACUUCAAAUAUUUGGCAGAGGUGGGAUUGCAGUUCACUAAGGUUAUAUGAGCCAGCUUGGUUACGCAAAUGUGAAAAUGCACAUUUUCCAGCCUGUGUCAAGGUGGAAACAUCAGGGCAGAAGAACAUAACUGAUAAUAGCUGGUCACACCUAAGAAGCCAGGAAGCAGAGAGAAAUGGAGACCAGCCUACGAGGACACAUUCCUAGUGACCUUCUUCCCAACUUUGGGUUUCCACCAAUUCACAAGAACACCAUUAAUUAUGAAUUCAUCAACAAAUCAAUUCAUCAAUUAAGUUAAAGCUCCCAUGAUGCAAUCACUUCCCUACAUCCUCCCGUCUGAACAUCCUCGCCAUUGAGAACCAAGCCUUCAACACAUGAGUCUGGGCACAAUAAGUCACAUUGAAUCCAUUGAAGAUGUAAAUUUUAAUGGUUGAAAAUGACUAGCAUAUUAUGUCUGUGAAAUUCAGUAAAGGGGAAUAUGGAAGAGAACGUGUACUAAAACUAAGGGUUCUAGAACGCAUCUGUGCUCUUCCUUUCAAUCUGGAGAGUGAGACAAGGAAGUCUUAAGUUCAAGGCCAGCCUGGGCUAUGUAGUGUAUGCUACCAUUGGCUAUAUAAUUUGACUCCAGCAUUACAAGAAGUAGAGUAAAUAAAAGAUAAAAAAAAAUGACUAUAGAAGUAUCAAGAUAUUACGACUCAUUCAUAUGAUUUCUGCAAUUGAUUUAGUAUGGCAUAUGAUUUAGUAAUCAAAGUGGAUGAAGAUGAUAUAUAUGCAUUAAUAAGAAUAAGUAUGUGAGACUAAACACAGAAUGUCCACCAGACACUGGGCAGUAAUUAGAUUCAACUCUUGUAAAAAUGUUCAACAGGAAGAAAAAAAAACUAUAACUUUGCUUUAUACUUGGAUAGUUACUUUCAGUCAUACAGGUAUGGAAUAAAAUGAAAGGAAAAUGUAGAUGGGAUCUGAAGGCCAGCCUUCUAUUAUACUAUUAAAUUGUAGUGCAGGAAAGAAGAAGAGUUUGUUGUAUUUGAUGUUUUCCGAGGUUUUGUUUUUGUUUUUGAAGCAUCUUUUGUUUCACAGAUGCUGUUAAAUGUUGAACAUGACACAAUAAAAAGAAACAGACAAAAGUCACUGUCCUUGAGGAACUAGUAUGAAGAAAAAUCAGAUGUUAAUAAAACAAUCAUUCACAAGA